rnacentral:lncRNA from 1 species
UGAUCUUAAAUCGAUGGUGGAGAGUAGUUAUUUCAUGUAAUUACAUUGGGUUGCAUGAAAGUGAGAAAGUUUAAUUUUGUACCUUUUUCAUUGUAACUAACUUGCCUUGCCAUUUUGGAGAACAACAAUUUUUACUAACUUGAAGGUAAAAAUAAAAGAGGCAAAUAAAUGGUACAACCUUAAUUAUGUAGGUAAGAUGAAAGCAUGUGGAUCCUAUAAGUGUAUCAUCUGCCAACAAAUAUUCUUUUCUGUGCACAAGAUACGGUGGAGUUAUAUAUUAUCUAAAUUAUUUGCAUGGUUGUUGUGUGAAGUAAUGGGUAUUUAACACUGUGCAUUCAUGGUUUGGGGCCUAUGAUAGGAGAGGGGGUAUAAUGAGUGAACUGUUAGAUGAUUCAUGUCUCUAUUUAUGUUAUUUCAUUUUCAUAAUGUUUUUGAACUCAAAAUUAGGUCCCCCCUUCCUCCUCUCAAAAACAAAAGCUAAUUAGUACUAAUUUGGUUGAAUUAGUACUAAUUUUGUAGAAAUUAAUGUGUUUGAUUCCGCGAUAAGAAAAAUCGAUUUUAAAUGAAUUGAUUAUGUAAAAUUGAUUAAGGUUAAAGUGAAUCGAAUAUGAGGUUACAAAUUAUGGUAAAAUCAAUUCUAAAAACAAAAUCAUAUCGGAUAACAUCAAAACAUUUUAAACACUAAGGAAGAAUAACAGAAUGGAAAAUAUUUACUUGUAUGUAACUUUAGCCACCAAAGAUUAAAUAGUAAAAAUUCAUAUUCUAAAGUCAACACCAAGAAAUAGAUAAAACCUUCAAAUUGAUUUGACAUGCACAAAAUGGUCAAUUAUGGCAACCCUUUAAAAGAAUUGAGCCAUGGAAAGAAGAAAAUUGAUAGCAUGAAGCAUAAAAUUGCAAUCUUAAGUUUUGUGAUUCUAAGUUGCAAUGAAACAGGAAACAAUUGUUAAGGUAGAGAAAUUAAAUUCAUAAUUCUUUCAUAUAUCAAAAAAUUCAAAAUCCUAUUUACCUUCUGUACAAGACUCUCUCUCUCUAGUCUCUCUACAAAUCUAACUAACUAAUAACUAUUUCUAAUUAAUAUCACAAAGAAAUGCAACCUAAAUUAUGCUACCAUAUAUCAUAUAAUAAAUAGUUAUGCUUUUUUAAUAUAUGACAAAUAAAUAAACAUAUAUGUGACUAUACUACUGAACAAUGGAUUCUUCCACCAAAAACCUGAUGAGAAAUCAAACUAUCUCUUGUUGUGUAAAGGGUUGGAUCCUGUAGGCACUUUGCGUUUCUGAGACUUGAAUUCUUUACCUUUGCUUCUGCUUGGAGAAUUGAAAAAUGGAAUAUGAAAAGCAUGAUGACUUGAAGUAGAAGAAGGGCUUGAGAAUUUAAUCCUUAUAGCAUAAACUCUUGGUGUGAGGAAUAGAAGAGAAAGGAGGAGAAAGAAAUGGAAGUGUUUCAUAUUGAAAAGUUAUAAGAUAAAAACAAAUGGAUGGAAAUGAAAAUGAAUAAUUUUGUGCAAAGUAGUCUUGUGUUAUGUUGUGUAUUUAUAUGGACAUGGUUAGGUAUCAACAUGUGAAUACUAAAUGUGGUGUUAUUUAUGAAACACUUGUCAAGUCUUUGUGUGAAUUUAGAGUGGUAGGUCAUGUACUCAUUGGCGUUUGAUUUUGAUCAAAUGGUCAAUGAUAGCUGUAUAUCAAUGGUGUGAGUAGGGACUAGCAUGGGAUCAAGGGUGGUGGGGUGGCAAUAUUUAAUGGUAGAUAGUGACAAAGAAAGUAAACAUCAACAAAGACUCUUAGGAGUUUCAUAUAUAGUUACAACCAAAUAGCUGGUUGAUGGGCUGAGAAACGUCAAAGAUGUAAUAACCUAAAAAUAUAUGGUUGAAAUCUAAAAACUAA